GGGUAAUCUACCUUCGGAUUUGGAAUAACCAGGGGAAACCCUGGCUAAUGCCAGAUAAGACCACGGUUCUAUCGUUUCGUGGGAAAAGUGGGGGACCUCUUCGGAGGCCUCAUGUCUGAAGAUGAGCCCGCGGUCCAUCAGCUUGUUGGCAGGGUAAAAGCCUACCAAGGCUAAGACGGAUAGCUGGUCUGAGAGGAUGAUCAGCCACACUGGGACUGAGACACGGCCCAG
rnacentral:rRNA from 1 species